rnacentral:RNase_P_RNA from 1 species
CGAGCAAGUUGGGCAGCCGCGGGAGCGAAAGCUCACGAGGAAAGUCCGAGCACCGCAGAGCAGGAUAACGGUUAACGGCCGCCGAGGGUGACCUUAGGGACAGUGCAACAGAGAGAUACCGCCUGAUUUUCAGGUAAGGGUGGAAAGGUGAGGUAAGAGCUCACCGGCGUGUGGGAGACCACACGGCCAUGCAAACCCUAUCCGGUGCAACACCGACCGGGGGAGUCGGCUUUAAGCCGACGGCGCUUGCUGGGCGAUACCCCGAAGGGUGGCUAAAGCCCCAUGGCAACAUGUGGCGUAGAUAGAUGGUUGCCUUAAAUGACAAAACUCGGCUUACAGACUUGCUCGCAAC